rnacentral:rRNA from 1 species
GCAUAUCAAUAAGCGGAGGAAAAGAAACCAACAGGGAUUGCCCCAGUAACGGCGAGUGAAGCGGCAACAGCUCAAAUUUGAAAUCUGGCCCCUCGGGCCCGAGUUGUAAUUUGUAGAGGAUGCUUUUGGUGCGGUGCCGCCUGAGUUCCCUGGAACGGGACGCCAUAGAGGGUGAGAGCCCCGUCUGGCUGGCCACCAAGCCUCUGUAAAGCUCCUUCGACGAGUCGAGUAGUUUGGGAAUGCUGCUCUAAAUGGGAGGUAUAUGUCUUCUAAAGCUAAAUAUUGGCCAGAGACCGAUAGCGCACAAGUAGAGUGAUCGAAAGAUGAAAAGCACUUUGAAAAGAGGGUUAAAUAGUACGUGAAAUUGUUGAAAGGGAAGCGCUCAUGACCAGACUUGGGCUUGGCGAAUCAUCCAGCGUUCUCGCUGGUGCACUUUGCCUCGUCCAGGCCAGCAUCAGUUCGUCGCGGGGGAAAAAGGCUUCGGGAACGUGGCUCCUCCGGGAGUGUUAUAGCCCGUUGCAUAAUACCCUGCGGUGGACUGAGGUUCGCGCAUCUGCAAGGAUGCUGGCGUAAUGGUCAUCAGCGACCCGUCUUGAAACACGGACCAAGGAGUCGUCUUCGUAUGCGAGUGUUCGGGUGUCAAACCCCUACGCGUAAUGAAAGUGAACGCAGGUGAGAGCUUCGGCGCAUCAUCGACCGAUCCUGAUGUUCUCGGAUGGAUUUGAGUAAGAGCAUACGGGGCCGGACCCGAAAGAAGGUGAACUAUGCCUGUAUAGGGUGAAGCCAGAGGAAACUCUGGUGGAGGCUCGCAGCGGUUCUGACGUGCAAAUCGAUCGUCAAAUAUGGGCAUGGGGGGCGAAAGACUAAUCGAACCUUCUAGUAGCUGGUUUCCGCCGA